rnacentral:rRNA from 1 species
CCUACGGGACGCAGCAGUGGGGGAUAUUGCACAAUGGGGGAAACCCUGAUGCAGCGACGCCGCGUGGGUGAAGAAGCGCCUCGGCGCGUAAAGCCCUGUCAGCAGGGAAGAAAAUGACGGUACCUGAAGAAGAAGCCCCGGCUAACUAUGUGCCAGCAGCCGCGGUAAUACGUAGGGGGGAAGCGUUAUCCGGAUUUACUGGGUGUAAAGGGGGCGCAGACGGCGAUGCAAGCCAGGAGUGAAAGCCCGGGGCCCAACCCCGGGACUGCUCUUGGAACUGCGUGGCUAGAGUGCAGGAGGGGGAG